rnacentral:rRNA from 1 species
GAUGAACGCUGGCGGCGUGCCUAACACAUGCAAGUCGAACGCUCUACUUCGGUAGAGAGUGGCAAACGGGUGCGUAACACGUAGGCAUCUACCCAUAAGCUGGGGACAACGGCUGGAAACGGUCGCUAAUACCCGAUAUGCUCUGCGGAGUAAAGACGUCAGUCGCUUAUGGAGGAGCCUGCGGCCUAUCAGGUAGUUGGUGAGGUAAUGGCUCACCAAGCCAUCGACGGGUAGGGGGUGUGAGAGCAUGACCCCCCACACGGGGACUGAGACACGGCCCCGACUCCUACGGGAGGCAGCAGUGAGGGAUAUUGGGCAAUGGGCGCAAGCCUGACCCAGCGACGCCGCGUGGAGGAGAAGGGCUUCGGCUCGUAAACUCCUUUUCCCAGGGACGAGACAAGGACGGUACCUGGGGAAUAAGUCUCGGCUAACUACGUGCCAGCAGCCGCGGUAAUU